rnacentral:rRNA from 1 species
GGGGAAUAUUGGACAAUGGGGGAAACCCUGAUCCAGCCAUGCCGCGUGAAUGAUGAAGGCCUUCGGGUUGUAAAGUUCUUUUGGCGGGGACGAUGAUGACGGUACCCGCAGAAUAAGCUCCGGCUAACUUCGUGCCAGCAGCCGCGGUAAUACGAAGGGAGCUAGCGUUGUUCGGAAUUACUGGGCGUAAAGGGCGCGUAGGCGGUUCGGCAAGUCAGAUGUGAAAGCCCAGGGCUCAACCCUGGAACUGCAUUUGAUACUGCCGUGCUUGAAUUCGGGAGAGGUGAGUGGAAUUCCCAGUGUAGAGGUGAAAUUCGUAGAGAUUGGGAAGAACACCCGUGGCGAAGGCGGCUCACUGGACCGACAUUGACGCUGAGGCGCGAAAGCGUGGGGAGCAAAC